CCCCCCACUCAGGCUGUUCAUUUCACCCUCUUCCCGGGCCAACAAGCCAGUCCCUGAAGGACUGGAGCUGCCCUAGGCUUCCGGCCAUUCCUGUCUACUGUCGCUGUGGAGAAUUGCCACGGUGGCCUCUAGCUGGCCUUCUCGGUCAUCCGCCAGCUCAUCCCCUGUGCGUCCACCCGUGUUAGGAGAACUUCCUCUGACUCAGCAGUUCCACUGCCAACAAUCUACGUGAUGGCGGUGCUGGCUGGAGCAGACGUGCAGCCCUGGGCAGGGAUGCUUGCUGCCGCAUUUUGCAAUAACCCAGAACCAACCCGUUUGGCCAUCCACAGCCACAUCUGCAGCACAGGAAGUCCUGCAGGCCCCGCUGAGCCCGAAAGCUAGCUGUGACGUGGAAGAGCACGGCCCGGAGCGGGGCAGACGAGCGGCUACCACCACUUGCUGACGUUACCCAGCGGCUCUCAGGGCUCUUCCUGCAGGAAGCCUGAGUGCGCAGGGAGCCGCCCUUCCCUCUGUGGGAGUGGCAGCUACCUGCGAUUUGACAAGCCACCGGUGCCUGUGGACACCCAGGUGCUGGGCCUAGCUGGCCUACCCCCAAAUUUCCACACGUGGGUCUCUGUCCCGAGGUGUGUACUGGGGAAGCUGACGCAAAACAUCAGCUGUGGGAAUGGGGUCCACUCCUUGCGGGCUCUCCGUGGACGAAAAGAACUGUAC